rnacentral:rRNA from 2 species
CUUAAAUUGAAGAGUUUGAUCAUGGCUCAGAUUGAACGCUGGCGGCAGGCCUAACACAUGCAAGUCGAGCGGAAACGAGUUAUCUGAACCUUCGGGGAACGAUAACGGCGUCGAGCGGCGGACGGGUGAGUAAUGCCUAGGAAAUUGCCCUGAUGUGGGGGAUAACCAUUGGAAACGAUGGCUAAUAC